AUAUUAAUAAGCGGAGGAAAAGAAACUAACAAGGAUUCCCCUAGUAACUGCGAGUGAAGCGGGAAAAGCUCAAAUUUGAAAUCUGGCAGUUGUUGACUGUCCGAGUUGUAAUCUAGAGAAGUGUUACCUGUGCUGGACCGUGUACAAGUCUCCUGGAAUGGAGCAUCAUGGAGGGUGAGAAUCCCGUCUUUGACACGGACUACCUGUGCGUUGUGGUAUGCUCCUACAAAGAGUGUC
rnacentral:rRNA from 1 species